rnacentral:rRNA from 1 species
GAUGAACGCUGACAGAAUGCUUAACACAUGCAAGUCAACUUGAACUUCGGUUUGGGUGGCGGACGGGUGAGUAACGCGUAAAGAACUUGCCUCACAGAUAGGGACAACAUUUGGAAACGAAUGCUAAUACCUGAUAUUAUGAUUUUAGGGCAUCCUAAGAUUAUGAAAGCUAUAUGCGCUGUGAGAGAGCUUUGCGUCCCAUUAGCUAGUUGGAGAGGUAACGGCUCACCAAGGCGAUGAUGGGUAGCCGGCCUGAGAGGGUGAUCGGCCACAAGGGGACUGAGACACGGCCCUUACUCCUACGGGAGGCAGCAGUGGGGAAUAUUGGACAAUGGACCAAGAGUCUGAUCCAGCAAUUCUGUGUGCACGAUGAAGUUUUUCGGAAUGUAAAGUGCUUUCAGUUGGGAAGAAAAAAAUGACGGUACCAACAGAAGAAGUGACGGCUAAAUACGUGCCAGCAGCCGCGGUAAUACGUAUGUCACAAGCGUUAUCCGGAUUUAUUGGGCGUAAAGCGCGUCUAGGUGGUUAUGUAAGUCUGAUGUGAAAAUGCAGGGCUCAACUUUGUAUUGCGUUGGAAACUGUGUAACUAGAGUACUGGAGAGGUAAGCGGAACUACAAGUGUAGAGGUGAAAUUCGUAGAUAUUUGUAGGAAUGCCGAUGGGGAAGCCAGCUUACUGGACAGAUACUGACGCUGAAGCGCGAAAGCGUGGGUAGCAAACAGG